GACGAACGCUGGCGGCGUGCUUAACACAUGCAAGUCGAACGGAAAGGCCCUGCUUGCAGGGUACUCGAGUGGCGAACGGGUGAGUAACACGUGGGUGAUCUGCCCUGCACUUCGGGAUAAGCCUGGGAAACUGGGUCUAAUACCGGAUAGGAGCCAUUUUUAGUGUGAUGGUUGGAAAGUUUUUUUCGGUGUAGGAUGAGCUCGCGGCCUAUCAGCUUGUUGGUGGGGUAAUGGCCUACCAAGGCGGCGACGGGUAGCCGGCCUGAGAGGGUGGACGGCCAAAUUGGGAUUGGGGUACGGCCCAGACCCCUCCGGGGGGCAGCGGGGGGGAAUUUUGCACAAUGGGCGGAAGCCUGAUGCAGCGACGCCGGGUGGGGGAUGACGGCCUUCGGGUUGAAAACUCCUUUCCCUGGGGAAGAAGUUUUUUGUGGCGGUACCUAGAUAAGAAGCCCCGGCUAACUACGU
rnacentral:rRNA from 1 species